GAUGAACGCUGGCGGCGUGCUUAACACAUGCAAGUCGAGCGAAGCACUUUGAAGUUUUCGGACAGAUGAGUGACUGAGCGGCGGACGGGUGAGUAACGCGUGGGUAACCUGCCUCAUACAGGGGGAUAACAGCUGGAAACGGCUGCUAAUACCGCAUAAGCGCACGGUACCGCAUGGUACAGUGUGAAAAACUCCGGUGGUAUGAGAUGGACCCGCGUCUGAUUAGCUAGUUGGUGGGGUAACGGCCUACCAAGGCGACGAUCAGUAGCCGACCUGAGAGGGUGACCGGCCACAUUGGGACUGAGACACGGCCCAA
rnacentral:rRNA from 1 species